UCGAGAAUUUUUCACAAUGGGCGAAAGCCUGAUGGAGCGACGCCGCGUGGGGGAUGAAGGGCUUCGGCCCGUAAACCCCUGUCAUUUGCGAACAAACCUUUUCAUUGAACAGGUGAAAAGCUGAUUGUAGCGAAAGAGGAAGGGACGGCUAACUCUGUGCCAGCAGCCGCGGUAAUACAGAGGUCCCAAGCGUUGUUCGGAUUCACUGGGCGUAAAGGGUGCGUAGGUGGUGGGGUAAGUUUGAUGUGAAAUCUCCGAGCUUAACUCGGAAAUGGCAUUGAAUACUACUCUGCUGGAGGGUCGGAGGGGAGACUGGAAUUUUCGGUGUAGCAGUGAAAUGCGUGGAUAUCGAAAGGAACACCAGUGGCGAAAGCGAGUCUCUGGACGACUCCUGACACUGAGGCACGAAAGCUAGGGGAGCAAACAG
rnacentral:rRNA from 1 species